rnacentral:misc_RNA from 1 species
GAUGAAGAACGCAGCGAAAUGCGAUAAGUAAUGUGAAUUGCAGAAUUCAGUGAAUCAUCGAAUCUUUGAACGCACAUUGCGCCCGCCAGCAUUCUGGCGGGCAUGCCUGUUCGAGCGUCAUUUCAACCCUCGACCUCCCCUUGGGGAAGUCGGCGUUGGGGACCGGCAGCAUACCGCCGGCCCCGAAAUGGAGUGGCGGCCCGUCCGCGGCGACCUCUGCGUAGUAAUCCAACCUCGCACCGGAACCCCGACGUGGCCACGCCGUAAAACCCCCAACUUUCUGAACGUUGACCUCGGAUCAGGUAGGAAUACCCGCUGAACUUAAGCAUAUCAAUAGCGGAGGA